rnacentral:rRNA from 1 species
CCCUUAGAUGUUCUGGGCCGCACGCGCGCUACACUGAUACAAUCAGCAAGCUUUUCCUUUUCACCCUUGACCGACAGGUCCGGGUAAUCUUGUGAAAUUGUAUCGUGAUAGGGCUUGACGAUUGUAAUUAUUUGUCACAAACGAGGAAUUCCUAGUAAGCGCGAGUCAUCAACUCGCACUGAUUACGUCCCUGCCCUUUGUACACACCGCCCGUCGCUCCUACCGAUUGAAUGUUAAGGCGAACCCUCCGGAAUCGCGGUUCGGAUUGGUUUUCCUUUCUGAACCAACGAUGAAGUUGUGUAAGCCUUGACAUUUAGAGGAAGGAAAAGUCGUAACA